UACGGAGGGAGCUAGCGUUGUUCGGAAUUACCGGGCGUAAAGCGCGCGUAGGCGGCUUUGUAAGUUAGAGGUGAAAGCCCGGAGCUCAACUCCGGAACUGCCUUUAAAACUGCAUCGCUUGAAUCCAGGAGAGGUGAGUGGAAUUCCGAGUGUAGAGGUGAAAUUCGUAGAUAUUCGGAAGAACACCAGUGGCGAAGGCGGCUCACUGGACUGGUAUUGACGCUGAGGUGCGAAAGCGUGGGGAGCAAACAGG
rnacentral:rRNA from 1 species